AAAGCCCUUAGCUAUCAAUCGUGCCUUGUAUCGAUCAAUGGUCCCAUCAUCUUUCUUUUUAACCUUGAAUUGGAAUUUCUUUGGGUUGGGAUAGUUCAAUUCAGAUUAUUCCAAAACCUUUCCCAUAUGCAGUCAAUUAGAUUACAGCCAUCCUUAGAUUCAACCAAAUGCUAAGUAUUAUUUUUGAGCAAUGCUGUAUACUCCUCUUGCAUACUUGCUUCCCGUA
rnacentral:lncRNA from 1 species